UGUAUCUCUAUUAUGCAAUUCAUGUAGGGAACUUGUAGGGAAUGUUUUGGGUUGUUGUAUGCAAUCAUCCAACCUAAUAACUUGUGGAAAAACUGAGAGUUAAUUAGUGCAAUUCACGGUUAAUUUGGGGCGUUGAGUAUUCAUAGUUUAUCGAAAAGCAACUGGAAAUCGUUUUGUAUGCAAGUGUGACAUGUGUGGAGAAGAACCUCCUAACUAGCCUUCCAUCCAUAAAUUUCAUUCAAAUUCAUUUACAAUCUGUUUUGUUUUACAAAGUUUGUUUUGUUUUCAAAUUCAUUAAAACCAAAAUCCCCCUUUUACUUUAUUGUUUCAAAGUGUUUAAUUUCUGUUUUGGUUGUGUUUUAGAGUGUUUUAAUUCACCCAAAUUUGUCUAAGAAUUUGUUUACUUUGUUCUUGUCUUAAUUUAAUUAUUUUCGUCCAAAAUCAACCCCAACUUAUUUCUUUGAGUCAUAUUAAUUAGAACUUGUCUUAGAUUAUGUUUUUAAGUGUUUUAGUUCAUUAGAAAACCAAAAUUCGUCCAAGUUUGUGUUAGAGUCCCAAAACUGCCCAGAUUGUGUGUUUAAGGUAGUUUUGAGUGUUUAGGGGCUGUUUUGAGUCUUUUGGUUUGUUUUAGUGUUUUAAAGUAUAGUUUUGCAUUCUUUGAGUCUAGUUAGUGUUUUAAACUUUGUUUUUACGUUUUCAAGUCAGUUUCCAAGUGAUUUAGCAAUCCCUCCUAAUCCCCGGCCUAGAACGAUCCCUACUUACAUACUUUACUACAAUUGAUAAAAAGAGGGUUUAAUUUGUGUGCUUAUAUAUUUGCAUCAAAUUUUGGCGCCGUUGCCGGGGAUUAGCAACUUUGCUAAUCCCCCGUUGUUUCUUUUUCAUGUCUUUUGUUUUACUUUUGAUAUUUGAUUUAGUUUUCUUUCUUUGAUUUUAGGUACUAGAGAAGUAAGACAUGGAUUUUGCUAGCAUUCAAACUCAAUUGGCAAAUCUUACUUCUCAAUUGUCACAGUAUGCCGAAAGGACCACAAUGCAAAGUGUCCCUACAUUUGGUGCGUCUUAUAGGCAAGGAUAUCAAGCCAAUCAAUGCCCACAAAGAGAUUGGAGUGAUCAUUCAAACUCUAUGUGGUGGGAAGCUCAACAAGUUCAACAUGAAGGAUAUUGGCAGCCAUAUGAGGAGUUCUAUUCAGGACCUAUGCAGCCACCACAACCUCAUAUACAAUAUGCCCAAUCAAACUCAGACUCGUCAAUAAAUUACAAUCAAAUUCUUAAUGAAUUAAACUCUAUGGUGCAGGGCUCACAACAAGAAGAAUAUCUGCCACCAUCGGAGGAGUUCUAUCACUGGCCAUAUCAACCGUCACAGUCACCACAACAAUCUGCCCAAUUCAAUUCAGGUACGUCUUUGGAUGAUGAUAUGUUUAAUAAGUUACUCACCUCUUUGAACCAAAAAGUAGAAAAUCAAAACAAAGAGAUACAAAAUCAAGCCAAGAAGGCGAGUGAAUUGGAGAAGCAACAUGGGCAGAUUAUGGAGUUCAUGGCACAAAUUCAAGAGCAGAGUGAACUCCCCAACUCAACUAUUGAAAAUUCGAAGGAAGAUUUUGAAAUCCAUGAUGCUAUCACUUUGAGAAGUGCUAUGGAGGUUGGACCUAACCUAAAAACAUCCAAAUAUAGCCUAGAAGUGGAUGAGGAGCUGCUGAUUGAGGAGGAGGAAGAAGACAUACACACGGAAAGGGUAGAACAACCCUUGCUGCAGCCCCUUAAGCCCUCUAAACCACCCACCACAAGUAAGGACGUCCCAAUUUCAUUUCAUUCUAAUGUUAUUCCUCCGAACGUCCCUUUUCCUCCUAUGUUUUUUAUUCCCAAGAAAGAAAAGAGUGAAAAAGACAUCGUGGAAGCCUUCCCAAAGGUGCAAAAUGAUAUUCCAAUUCUUGGUGCAACAAAUCAAGUUCCAGAUUGUGUUGAAAUGUUCAAAAGACCUUGUACACCAAGAAGAAUGAUUCAAGAGAAAGUAGUGGCUGGAGAAGAUGUAGAAUGCAUCAAAGAGGAUAUGCUUGAGACAACCAUUCCUAAAGAAGUUGAAUUAUAUGACAUGGGACAAGUCCCAACCAUCACAUUCAAUCUGGCCAAGUCCAAUAUCCCUGAAACUUUCAAAAAUGUGGUGUUUGUCAUUGAGUUCUUGUCGGACAAAGCAAGUAAGUCAUCUUCUCCAAUUUUACAUACGUUUUCCACUAACUUGCUGAUUUUGAUGAUUCAGGCACCCAUACUAGAAUUUACACCAUUGCCGGAUCACUUCAAGUAUCACCUUCCAUUCGAAGAUCACUUCCAUGGAACCUAGGGGAAUGUGACGGGAGGUAUCGUCCGGCUGGAAGACGUUAAAGCAAGCGCUUUAAGGGAGGCAACCCAUUUAUUCUGCUUGAUUGUCAAUUUUAUUACUUGUUUAAUUAUUUUUGGUUAUGACUUUCUAUUUUGAAACAUUAACAAAUAUGCAAAGGAUUUUAACAUUAAACUUCGUGGAAAUGAACAGCAAACUGGGAAAUAAAGAAACAUAGCAUAAUACAAGAGAAAGCCUUCACAAAGGCUGCUUGGGAGAGGUCGCAGUAGUCGGCGGAGUUGCAGUAGUCGGCGGAGUCUCAGCAGUCGGUGGGGCCACGGAAGGAGGAGGUAUCGGAGGUUGAUCAGUUGGAGCUUCACUACGCGGUGCCGCCCCAGAAGACGAAGGCAGAUGCGGUUGGAACAAACCCACAAACCUCCGGUGAUCAAGUAAAAUCUGACCAUCAGUUUCCUGCAGCUGGUCAAUUUUCCUCUUCAUGUUUGUGGCAUAAUUGUGUGCAAGCUUGUGCAAUUGUUUAUUUUCAUGCUUGAGUCCUCUAAUCUCCUCUUUGAGACUCUGUAUUUCAGCCACCAACGAUUCAACAUGACGGGUUCGAGCAAAUAGGCGUUGGGCCAUGUUGGACACAGAACCCGCACACUGCACUCUAAGAGCCAGAGACUCCUUAACCGCCAAUUCAUCAGACCGUCUAGCGAGCAGUCUGUUAUCUUUGGGGGUGACAAGGUUCCGGGCCACCACCGCAGCGGUCAUGUCAUUUUUCAUCACCGAAUCCCCAACGGUAAGAGGACCAGUAGGGGAUAUGAGGGACGGGCGCUAUAUGUUGUCUGGAGAAUGAGGGGCUGCUCCUUCACUAAGGUUCAAGUCAAAACGACAGUCGGAAGGGCCAGACAUUUUUCAGAGGUGUUAAAGAAAUAGGAGAUCGGACAAGUCAAGAUCGUAGAAGUGCAAAACGGGAGUUUUUAUAGGCAGAAAUUCAAGAGUGCUUUGAACGUCCUGCAUACCUCUAUAAAAAUCAGCACGCGAUGGGAUUUCAGAGAUCGAAGAGGUGAGCUCAGAAAUCGAAGAAGCCAUUCGGAGAUCGAAGAGGCGCCAGCUUUCUCAAAAGUUGGGCUUGCUCACAAAUCACCAAUUCCAGAUACCGAAGAGUGUCAACUGUCUCAGCCUUGUCAGCACCCAUCACACGCAACUUAGCUUUGCGAAAAUCACGGGCAGUCUGUCCAAGCACCGAUUCCAACCAUCUGUCUCUCUCAGCCUCGUCAGCACUUGUCACAUGCGAUCUCUGCCCUCAACGAAGCUCAGAACUCGAAGCGUAAAUUCCGGAUAUUAAAGAGACCUCUGCUUUAUCGAGACGUGUCAGCAUCUGUCAAUUUGCACAUCUGCGUUGCGCAAAUCACGCGCAAUCUGUCGAAAUUUUUUGGAGAAGCGGAAUGCACGUGGAAACUACUGUUAAAUUAUCCCAGGCUUGCCGACACGAGUAAUGGAACAAUGCCUUCCCAGCCAUUAAGAAAAUUCUAUAAAUGUUGAACUUCAAAGUGAAGCAGUCUCACCCAACUUUCAGCCUCACUUAACCCUUCAUCCUCUCUGAAAUGGCUUUCCAACAAACCCUCUCGAGUCACUCUGUAUUUUUCAUCCCCUGGGAUACCCCUGCAAACAACCCAUCCAGAGCACAAGUAUUUCAUAUCAUAAAGGUUGAGAGCACGAGUAUCUCAUAUCAUGCUUUCUCCCUGUCCUUUCUCCAGCCAGCACCUGCUCUCGAGUACUUAUCAUCUUAUGCUUCCGCUUCGUCUCUCACGUAUAAGGGAAGUGAAGAUGAUACCUCGAAGCAUGUGGAGACAACGUGCUGAUUCAUCCUCAACUAGGGACAAGGAGAAAAAAAGCAAGAGGUGACACUUGGAAAUAUUGAAGAAAGAAACAGACCAACACCUCUCCCUCGUGCCUGCCCGUCGUGCAUAAGAAACAAACAGAGAAGAAUGCAGCUUGCAUAAUCAUCCCAACGGAAGGAGUCUGAGAUGAAGAACUAGAGAAGCUGCCACAUCUGCUUGGAGAACAAAUAAGGAACUGCAACAUCACCAAAGAGCAAAGCUUCGCCGUACAAUUCCAAUCCAGUUCAAGUUCAAAGCUGUGGAAAGUCAACAAGAUCAACUAUCUCCAAAACCAGAUUUGCGUUCUUAAACUCUACUCUGUCUGGUUUUUACUUUGCCAUAUUUGUCAUGUUUAUUUGUCGUUAUUAUUUGCUUGUUUUUGGUGUGAGUAUAUGCUUGAAACAUUGAGGACAAUGUUUGAUUUAAGUGUGGGGGGGUAACCAUUGUUUUGCAUGAAAUUCGUAGAAAUUUAUCACCCAUUACUUCUAGUGUUGUUCCUUGUUGUUUUAAGUAUUUUUUAAGCUGUUUUGGAGUGUUUCAGUGUGUUUUGACAUAAAAAUCCGAAAAUUCAUAAAAAUUUGAAAAAUUGUUUUUGAAAAUCCAAAAAAGAGUUGUUUUUGUGCGCUUAUUUGUGUCUUAGGGUACCUUCCAACACAAUGAUGAGGAUUCGGUUUGUAAUUGCAUGAAUGUUAAAGAGAGUUAUAAACAUGGAUGAAAGUUUGAUUUACUCUUUAUUUAUGCGUGGUUGUGGUUAUAACUUAUGAAAUCACAUGUAAUCAUAAAAGAAAAAAAAAAUUAGUUUUUGUAACAUGCUUGAAGGAAAGAACUCAAACUAACGCUACAACAUUGUGAGACUUGAGCUUAAACGUUUAUUUGGAGAGUUAAAAUAUGUGCAUUCUUGUUUUCUAAAGUCGUUGCAUGAUCUCAUUAUUCUUUGCUUGGUUAUUACUUAGAAGGCGUUUCAUCAUUUAGUUCCAAAUGCUAGAACUCAUGCCUAUUUCAUUCAAAGCAUGCUAUUGAUUUGCAUAAAACAUAUUCAAGAUGAAGUUGUGUAGUUACCACCACCAAAGCCAAACUGCCAUGUAUCCCAUAUCGUUAUAUGUUUAAGUUAACCCCAUUGAGCCUUGAUAGCCUACAUUCUUUGUUAAACCACAUUAUCCUUACCUAGCCUAGUUUAGGACCAUCCAUACCCUUGUUCUUAAAGCAUAGUAAAGCAUGAUUCAAAUUGAAUUUCUUUUGAUUAAUGUAUGGCAGAAAACAAGUGUGGGGGAAGUGUGAGUUAUUAUGCUUGUUGAAAAGAAAAGAAGAGUUGAAAAAAAAAAUGCGAAAAAGAGUUUUAAAGUGCUGCUUGUUGAAGAAAUGGUCCAAAACAUAGAAUUCGGCCCUAAAUAUUGCUUGAAUUUUCCCUUCGUGUCUAAAAACUGAUUUCUGCAAUCUAAGUGAAUUCUAAGUUUCAAUUUCAUUACUUUACUUGUUAUUGCUUUAAGAACGAUUGUUAUCCUUAUCCUUCAUUUGUUAGCCAUCACCCCAAGCCCCGUUACAAACCCUUAACUUCAUCUUGAGUGUCAUGCGUUUCAAUAUGUGGAGUUUGAAAUUGAUAUGAGCAUAUGGUGUCACUGGUUCUCGCAUCUAAGUAGUAGCAUUCCAUUCAUGAGAUCAUAUCUAAACAUGCUUAUUAACUCCAUAAAUUGCUUUCUUUGUGAUACAUAUAUGUGAGCGUUCGUUUUCAUAUCUACAUCAAUCUUCUCACAUAUAACUAGUAUAGGGUGUGUAGUUAGAAAAUCUGAGUGAAAAUUGAGUGCAUAUCUUGUAAGGAAUUGAGUGAUUUCUCUAAGGCAUGUUACUACAUCAAAAACAUUAUUUUAAUCGAUUAAUUGUGAACAAGUAAGUGGUGACUAUGAUUAAGUACGUGCUUAAGUGUGAAGAUGACUCAAAUCUGUGGGGAUAAUUUUUUUUAACAUGUCAUGUGCAUUGGAAAUCCCUAAGGCAAAUGUUGGAAGGUUUAGGUUGUGUUUUAUUUACUUUGUUUCGUUUUAUCUCUUUGUUUUGCUCGAGGACUAGCAAAAGCUAAGUGUGGGGGAAUUUGAUAGAAGCAUAUUUAUGCGACUUAGUUGGCUUGUUCUUGUGCAUUUAUGUCGUGUUUCCUUAGUUAUUUUAAUGUUUAAAGUCAUUUUCGUGUGUUUUCAGAUUUUAUGGACAAAGUAGGCAAGAAGAUGCAUUUUGGAGGCCUUUGGAGCAUGUUUCGGGCUUGGAAUGGAUAGCAAAUGCAUGGGCCAAGUGGAUGGACGAAUUUGAGAACUAAAGAGGCCAAGAAUAUGAAGAAUUAUGGUCCAAAAGAUGAAGAAAACAGCCCAAAAAUCUGUCACCCCAACUUGCAUUCCUUGCCAUGCAAACCACAUAGAAUUCCCUUUGGAUUCCAUGCCAUGUUUGAUCACUCUUGUCCCCUACAUAAUUUCUGAUUUCAUGCUUCAAUUCAUUUAAUUAUUACACUCAAUUGCUUGAUACCUCUUGUUCCCUUCACUCAUUAGAUUUUACACAACAUUUACAUCCAUUACAUGCACCAAUUGAUGCUCCAUCAUUCACAUUUGGAAUCCAAUGCCAUGUGCAAACACAUGUUGUUGCACCUUUGACCCAUUUGUUGACACAUUUCACCUCCCUUUCCAUCUCUAUGCAAUGUACACAAUCAUUCAUGCUCCUUAGCUACAACACCACUCCAUUUUACCCUUCACACUUUGCAUCAUUACUUCAUUUUCACCCUUGGACCAUUGCACACCACACACACAAAUUGCCAUGCAUUUCAUCCUUAACCUAACCUGAUUUUCUAAGGUUUUUGGGGCCUAUAAAUACAUGUUUACACCCCUUGGCCAAAGGACAAUCCCCCAUAUUCAUCAUUUUAUCACAGAAAUUCGUCCAUACACACCCUAGGAAGCAAAACACCCCAAAAACACCAUUCUAGUGCCUAGAAAACAUAACAACCACUCCACCUUCUUCCACCCUCUUUGCCUAGUUCUCCACCACCUUCCAACCAUCAAACACUCUUCCACACUCACCCUAAACCCCUCCAUACCAUUCCCUAUCCAUUCUACACCAUAAAUCCACCCAAAAAUCUGUCCACAAGCUUCAUGCCGCAACAAGGAGGAAGGGAGAUCCAUUGAUGCACUUGCUUUCCAAGUUGGAGCAUUUUAGGUGUUUUCUUUCCUUUGAUUUUAAUGUCUAAUUUUAUGUAUCUUUGUAUUGCAAGUAUGAGGAACUAAACCCCCUUGGCUAGGGGGGAUUCAAAACCAUGUUUAUGCUUGCUAUAUGAUUUGAUUACUUCCAAUUGCGUUUCUUGAAUUGUGAAUUCAAUUUACUUAUCCGUUCGUAUAAAAACUAAUUUGUGUAUGUUGGUUGAGAGUGCACGCUUAAUUUUCAUGCAUGAAUUUGACGCUAGAAUAUAAGGGAGUUUCACCUAAUCGUUAUGAACUUAUAUUCACAAGUAGUGAAGGUUGCUAGUCACAAUCACGUUAAGUAAAUUCUUGGCAUAAGUUUCAUGCAAAUCAUAGUAACGAGUGCCUCGUCAAUGCUUAUGUUUUUCAUAGAACUUAAUGAUUCUUGCUUGUAUCUCUAUUAUGCAAUUCAUGUAGGGAACUUGUAGGGAAUGUUUUGGGUUGUCGCAUGCAAUCAUCCAACCUAAUAACUUGUGGAAAAACUGAGAGUUAAUUAGUGCAAUUCACGGUUAAUUUGGGGCGUUGAGUAUUCAUAGUUUAUCGAAAAGCAACUGGAAAUUGUUUUGUAUGCAAGUGUGACAUGUGUGGAGAAGAACCUCCUAACUAGCCUUCCAUCCAUAAAUUUCAUUCAAAUUCAUUUACAAUCUGUUUUGUUUUACAAAGUUUGUUUUGUUUUCAAAUUCAUUAAAACCAAAAUCCCCCUUUUACUUUAUUGUUUCAAAGUGUUUAAUUUCUGUUUUGGUUGUGUUUUAGAGUGUUUUAAUUCACCCAAAUUUGUCUAAGAAUUUGUUUACUUUGUUCUUGUCUUAAUUUAAUUAUUUUCGUCCAAAAUCAACCCCAACUUAUUUCUUUGAGUCAUAUUAAUUAGAACUUGUCUUAGAUUAUGUUUUUAAGUGUUUUAGUUCAUUAG
rnacentral:lncRNA from 1 species